rnacentral:rRNA from 1 species
GACGUAGGGCGCGAGCGUUGUCCGGAUUUAUUGGGCGUAAAGAGCUCGUAGGCGGUUUGUCGCGUCUGCUGUGAAAACUGGAGGCUCAACCUCCAGCCUGCAGUGGGUACGGGCAGACUAGAGUGCAGUAGGGGAGAUUGGAAUUCCUGGUGUAGCGGUGGAAUGCGCAGAUAUCAGGAGGAACACCGAUGGCGAAGGCAGAUCUCUGGGCCGUAACUGACGCUGAGGAGCGAAAGCAUGGGGAGCGAACAGG